AACCAGCCUAAGCUGAUCAGUUGCUUUGGCUAGUCUCCCAAGCUGGUUUUUAAGUGGUUUUGGCCACUGUCACGCUGGUCUUAGCUGGGUUUUAGCUGGUUUUUACUGAAUCCACUGGUUUAAGCUGGUUUUGGCCGGAUUAGCAUAGAAACAUGCUAACAACAUGCAAGUUACUCACUAAUCAGACUAGAAACAUACUUCUAACAUGGUUUAAAGUGGUUUUGGCCACUGUCACGCUGGCCUUACCUGGUCUUAGCUGGUUUUCUUUACUGAAUCAACUGGUUUUAGCUGGUUUAGUAUAGAAAAAUGAAAACAACAUGCUAGUUACUCACUAAUCAGACUAGAAACAUGCUUUUAACAUGGUUUUAAAGUGGUUUUGGCCACUGUCACGCUGGCCUUAGGUGGUCUUAGCUGGUUUUAGCUGGUUUUAUUUACUGAAUCAACUGGUUUUAGCUGGAUUAGAAUAGAAAAAUGUUAACAACAUGCUAGUAACUUGCUUAUCAGACUAGAAACAUACUUCUAACAUGGUUUAAAGUGGUUUUGGCCAUUGUCACGCUGGCCUUACCUGUUCUUAGCUGGUUUUCUUUACUGAAUCAACUGGUUUUAGCUGGUUUAGUAUAGAAAAAUGAAAACAACAUGCUAGUUACUCACUAAUCAGACUAGAAAUAUGCUUUUAACAUGGUUUUAAAGUGGUUUUGGCCACUGUCACGCUGGCCUUAGGUGGUUUUAGCUGGUUUUAGCUGGUUUUCUUUACUGAAUCAACUGGUUUUAGCUGGAUUAGAAUAGAAAAAUGUUAACAACAUGCUAGUAACUUGCUUAUCAGACUAGAAACAUACUUCUAACAUGGUUUAAAGUGGUUUUGGCCACUGUCACGCUGGCCUUAGCUGGUCUUAGCUGGUUUUCUUUACUGAAUCAACUGGUUUUAGCUAGAUUAUCAUAGAAACAUGUUAACAACAUGUUAGUAACUUGAUAAUCCGGUUAGAAACAUGCUUUUAACAUGCUUUUAACAUGGUUUUAAAGUAGUUUUGGCCACUGUCACGCUGGUCUUAGCUGGUUACUAACUGAAUCAACUAGUUUUACCUGGAUUAACAUAGAAACAUGCUAGUCACUUGCUAAUCAUGCUAAAAAAAUACUAGUCACUUUGCUAAUCAUGAUAACAAAAUGCUAGUCACUUUGUUAAUCAUGCUAAAAACAUGCUAGAAACAUGCUACAAACAUGCUAGUCAUGCUAGCAACAUGCUAGAGACAUGCUAGUCAUGUUAACAGCAUGCUAGUCACUUGCUACUUAUGCUAGCUACAUGCUAAUAAUGCUAACAACAUGCUAGUCUCUUGUUAAUCAUGGUAACAACAUGCUAGUAACUUUGCUAAUCAUGCUUAAAACAUGCUAAUAACAUGCUAGUCACUUGCUAAUCAUGCUAGAAACAUGCUAGCGACAUGCUAGUCACUUGCUAAUCAUGCUAAAAACUUGCUAGUGACAUGCUAGUCAC
ensembl:lncRNA